GACGAACGCUGGCGGCGCGCCUAAUACAUGCAAGUAGAACGCUGAAGAGAGGAGCUUGCUCUUCUUGGAUGAGCUGCGAACGGGUGAGUAACGCGUAGGUAACCUGCCUUGUAGCGGGGGAUAACUAUUGGAAACGAUAGCUAAUACCGCAUAACAAUGGAUGACACAUGUCAUUUAUUUGAAAGGGGCAAUUGUUCCACUACAAGAUGGACCUGCGUUGUAUUAGCUAGUAGGUGAGGUAAUGGCUCACCUAGGCGACGAUACAUAGCCGACCUGAGAGGGUGAUCGGCCACACUGGGACUGAGACACGGCCCAGACUCCUACGGGAGGCAGCAGUAGGGAAUCUUCGGCAAUGGGGGCAACCCUGACCGAGCAACGCCGCGUGAGUGAAGAAGGUUUUCGGAUCGUAAAGCUCUGUUGUAAGUCAAGAACGGGUGUGAGAGUGGAAAGUUCACACUGUGACGGUAGCUUACCAGAAAGGGACGGCUAACUACGUG
rnacentral:rRNA from 1 species